UACCUGGUUUUAUCACGAAGGAAGAUCAAAAGACACACAAGCACCAUAAAAAAAGCUAGGCGAAGGAAGAUACAAGUGCAGAGAACCUGGCAAAAGACUGCCAGAUGAGUGACCCUGGGGAGGCUGAGCUGGCUUCUGGCUGAGUCUGAGAUUCCAGAAUCAAACUAAGGAAGUUGCAUGCACUGGCCACUUAGGAAAGGCAGAUGCAUCACAACUGGAGUUUUAUUUCUGUACUUCUUGUUCGUGUGUAACUGGAAGACGCCUAAUAGCAGGAAUGCUGUUCUCUCAGAUCCCUACUGGAGGAGAUGAUUACUUAUGGCAGAGCGUGUGUGAGGAAAGAUGUUGGCUUCCUCUUCGGUAGUACUUUCCCCAAUUUGUUACACAGCAUGACAAAUAGAACAACACUUCCAUGAUGUUUAUAUGUUUUAUAACACAUGUUAGCAGUAGCAUCAAGACCAAGUGCCAAGAUACUUAAUUAAUUCCACUUUCCUGAAUUAACCGUAAGGUUUGAGUUAUGUAUGGCAAUUAUCUCCUUUAAACUGUUAAGCACGCAGAAAGUGGUUAUUGCCCGCUGUCUUUCUACCUCCACCAUGUCAGGGACAGUGAAUCUUGCUGUGUGUGUGCUCGUGUGGUGACACAGUGGUGCCACACACCUUCCUGCUGCUGUUAGAGCCAUGACAAGCUGCUCUGGUGGCCCUGCGGUGCUGGACUGUGCUCCUGUGUGAGGCUGCCAGCAACUCACUGCCUGAGGAGUUCCCAUUCCAGGAGGUGAGGCAGAAAAGGGUAAGGCACUGGUGUAUCAUCAUCAUGGCUGCAAUAUGGAGGAGGAGAAAAGAUACAGAGAAGUGGUGACAGGUCCAUGGUUGCCCUGAGAAGCUGGAGUCACUGUAAGGAACUGAAUUCCCCAGGGUGGAUUAUGAAGUUGCUCUACAUGAAGUUGCUCUAUACAGAAAACUUUGAAGAUAAUUAGACAAGAACGACAGAAACAUCUUGGUAACAGUCUGAACAAUGUAAAUACGAGAUGGUAGAACACAGGUAGCGAGUACAGAUUGGUAGGAAGAAGAGUUCAUGCUGUCUGACAGUUAUUGAUGCCCUCCCCCUUCUCAGAACAAGUGUUGCCAUUUUGUUCAGCAUCCUUAAGACCUGUAAAGAAAUAAUGAACAAAGGCAGGCUGGAAGGCCCUUCUGACAUCCUAACUGUCUUUUCCAUCUUGUGAAAAGAGUGAUCUUAAAAUGGGGACUAUCUUGCAGAGAUGGAGUCAGCCAUUGGGUAAAAGUGGAACUUACUCAACAAAUCUGCUCCCUGUGCUGCAAUCAGGAACAUGUACAUGUCAGUUUUCUGACAAAAGUACGUUUUUUUUUUCUCUGUGUAACCUAAGACAGAGGCAGAAGUUGCAGUUGCUCUAAGAAGAAUCAGGAAAUUUUGGGUCACAUAAGCUGCAUCUCCCUUACUUGGUGGAGCACAAGCCAGAAAGCUGCCUGAAGCUAAAUGCACUCAUCUGUGUGUCUGCAGUUCUGGUCCUAAAGUACAGUUCAUGAGCCUUAAGUGUCUUGCUGAAGACACCAGCCUUUUUAGAAGGCUCCUACACUGACUUGUCUGCAUUGUACUGACCAUGUAAUUUUGCUGCAUGAUGAUAAGAGCAUAUAAUAAUAACAUGAGUUAACAUGACCUAUGGGUUGGCAUAUGUUUGAAUGUGGACUAAAGAAUAGUAUGGCUCUAAAUCUCUGCUUGUUUGAAAUUCCUGCAUUUUGGGCAUUAGUAUUGAAAUUAUUUGGACAUGAAACAAAUUUGAGCUAAGCAUGUGCUGGGACACAAGCUUGAAAUACACUUUAAAAGUAACCAUGGUGGUGUCCACACCCAUGUAGACUGUAGUGCAAAUCCCAUUACUGAAGCUGCAUAGGCGCACGCUGAUGUGACCUUCUGCUUUUGUUUAGUUAUGGUGCAAAUACACCAAGUAAAGCAUGCACUUACCCAACAAAAAUACAAACCUUCUAAGGUGGUUCUACAAAAAUGUUUUAUAUUUGUGGUCCUAUUGUCAGCAGAAUAGUACAGGCAAAAGGAUUGUGCUAUUGAGGAGUUACACUGACUAAAGAAAAAAAAAAAGCUAAUCAUAAAAAGUAAAGAAGAAUAUUGGAUUUGAGAAUUUAUGCUCAGUAUUUUGUAUAGAAAACCUGAUACUAAAGCUGCAAAGAAUCCUCAUCUGUAUUUCAGGGAUGUAAUCCUGGUUACUUAUAUACAAAAUGCUUGCCUGUCUUGAUUAUUUAGAAUAUAUUUCUUAAUUUCUUUUAGAACAGAACAACACCAAAUUGCUAUAUUCUUACUUCAAGGCAAAACUCACAUGUUUAGCCUAAAUGAAACCUAAAUGAAACUAACUUGGCUUGAUUUAUCUUUUAGUUAUUUUCUAUGGGACGUAUUGUGUUAUUAAUUUAGGCAGGACACUCCUCAUUGUUUUCACUGGAGAGUCCUGCUUAAAACAUGAACCCACAUUACACUGUCCUAAUGAUGAACUUGGAAUAAGUAUUUGGAUCUGAAGGAAGAGACAAUCUGAUUUUGGAAAUCUAUUGAUUUUUAUGCAGCUUGACU